UUAAGUGACUAAGCGUACACGGUGGAUGCCUUGGCAGUCAGAGGCGAUGAAAGACGUAGUAACUUGCGAUAAGCCCAGAUUAGGUAGUAACAACCAUUUGAGUCUGGGAUUUCUGAAUGGGGAAACCCACUUUACAUAAAGUAAGUAUCAUUAAUUGAAUACAUAGGUUAAUGAGGCGAACCGGGGGAACUGAAACAUCUAAGUACCCCGAGGAAAAGAAAUCAACCGAGAUUCCGAAAGUAGCGGCGAGCGAAAUUGGACUAGCCCUUAAGCUUUACACGCGUUAGACGAACGGUCUGGAAAGUCCGACGAUACAGGGUGAUAGUCCCGUAGUUGACGACGUGUGUUCAGUGAAAUCGAGUAGGGCGGGACACGUGAUAUCCUGUCUGAAUAUGGGGGGACCAUCCUCCAAGGCUAAAUACUACUGACUGACCCGAUAGUGAACCAGUACCGUGAGGGAAAGGCGAAAAGAACCCCUGUGAGGGGAGUGAAAUAGAACCUGAAACCGUUGUACGUACAAGCAGUAGGAGCAGGCUUUGUCCUGUGACUGCGUACCUUUUGUAUAAUGGGUCAGCGACUUAUAUUCAGUGGCAAGGUUAACCAUCUAGGGGAGCCGUAGGGAAACCGAGUCUUAACUGGGCGUUCAGUCUCUGGAUAUAGACCCGAAACCAGGUGAUCUAGCCAUGGGCAGGUUGAAGGUUGAGUAACAUCAACUGGAGGACCGAACCGACUAAUGUUGAAAAAUUAGCGGAUGACUUGUGGCUAGGGGUGAAAGGCCAAUCAAACCUGGAGAUAGCUGGUUCUCCCCGAAAGCUAUUUAGGUAGCGCCUCGGACGAAUACUACUGGGGGUAGAGCACUGUUAAGGCUAGGGGGUCAUCCCGACUUACCAACCCUUUGCAAACUCCGAAUACCAGUAAGUACUAUCCGGGAGACACACGGCGGGUGCUAACGUCCGUCGUGGAGAGGGAAACAACCCAGACCGCCAGCUAAGGUCCCAAAUUACUACUAAGUGGGAAACGAUGUGGGAAGGCUCAGACAGCCAGGAUGUUGGGCUUAGAAGCAGCCAUCAUUUAAAGAAAGCGUAAUAGCUCACUGGUCGAGUCGGCCUGCGCGGAAGAUGUAACGGGGCUAAGUAGUAAACCGAAGCUGCGGCAAUGUGCUUUUGCACAUUGGGUAGGGGAGCGUUCUGUAAGCGGUUGAAGGUGUGUGGUAACGCAUGCUGGACGUAUCAGAAGUGCGAAUGCUGACAUGAGUAACGAUAAAGGGGGGUGAAAACCUCCUCGCCGGAAGACCAAGGGUUCCUGUCCAACGUUAAUCGGGGCAGGGUAAGUCGACCCCUAAGGCGAGGCCGAAAGGCGUAGUCGAUGGGAAACGGGUUAAUAUUCCCGUACUUCUUACAAUUGCGAUGGGGGGACGGAGAAGGCUAGGUGGGCCUGGCGACGGUUGUCCAGGUUCAAGUGCGUAGGCUUAAGAGUUAGGUAAAUCCGGCUCUUUUUAAGGCUGAGACACGACGUCGAGCACCUACGGGUGUGAAGUCAUUGAUGCCAUGCUUCCAGGAAAAGCCUCUAAGCUUCAGAUUGUAAGGAAUCGUACCCCAAACCGACACAGGUGGUCGGGUAGAGAAUACCAAGGCGCUUGAGAGAACUCGGGUGAAGGAACUAGGCAAAAUGGUACCGUAACUUCGGGAGAAGGUACGCUCUCGACGGUGAAGUCCCUCGCGGAUGGAGCUAUUGAGAGUCGCAGAUACCAGGUGGCUGCAACUGUUUAUUAAAAACACAGCACUGUGCAAAAUCGUAAGAUGACGUAUACGGUGUGACGCCUGCCCGGUGCCGGAAGGUUAAUUGAUGGGGUUAGACUUCGGUCGAAGCUCUUGAUCGAAGCCCCGGUAAACGGCGGCCGUAACUAUAACGGUCCUAAGGUAGCGAAAUUCCUUGUCGGGUAAGUUCCGACCUGCACGAAUGGCGUAAUGAUGGCCACGCUGUCUCCACCCGAGACUCAGUGAAAUUGAAAUCGCUGUGAAGAUGCAGUGUACCCGCGGCUAGACGGAAAGACCCCGUGAACCUUUACUACAGCUUGGCACUGAACAUUGACCCUACAUGUGUAGGAUAGGUGGGAGGCUUUGAAGCACGUACGCCAGUAUGUGUGGAGCCGUCCUUGAAAUACCACCCUUGUAGUGUUGAUGUUCUAACGUUGACCCCUUAUCGGGGUUGCGGACAGUGCCUGGUGGGUAGUUUGACUGGGGCGGUCUCCUCCCAAAGAGUAACGGAGGAGCACGAAGGUGGGCUAAUCACGGUUGGACAUCGUGAGGUUAGUGCAAUGGCAUAAGCCCGCUUGACUGCGAGAAUGACAAUUCGAGCAGGUGCGAAAGCAGGUCAUAGUGAUCCGGUGGUUCUGAAUGGAAGGGCCAUCGCUCAACGGAUAAAAGGUACUCCGGGGAUAACAGGCUGAUACCGCCCAAGAGUUCAUAUCGACGGCGGUGUUUGGCACCUCGAUGUCGGCUCAUCACAUCCUGGGGCUGAAGUCGGUCCCAAGGGUAUGGCUGUUCGCCAUUUAAAGUGGUACGCGAGCUGGGUUUAGAACGUCGUGAGACAGUUCGGUCCCUAUCUGCCGUGGGCGUUGGAAGAUUGAAGGGGGCUGCUCCUAGUACGAGAGGACCGGAGUGGACGAACCUCUGGUGUUCGGGUUGUGUCGCCAGACGCAUUGCCCGGUAGCUAAGUUCGGAAUCGAUAACCGCUGAAAGCAUCUAAGCGGGAAGCGAGCCCUGAGAUGAGUCUUCCCUGAUACUUUAAGUAUCCUAAAGGGUUGUCGGAGACUACGACGUUGAUAGGUCAGGUGUGUAAGUGCUGUGAGGCAUUGAGCUAACUGAUACUAAUUGCCCGUGAGGCUUAACCAU
rnacentral:rRNA from 1 species